GGACAAGCCCUACUACUUAGCUUUCAACCUUGUAUUUCACCUAGCAGCUGACGCUGCCCUUGCUUUGAAACUCAAACCACCGAUAUAACAUCUUGCCCCUUAGAUCGAGUCUACCAUUACUUUAUCCUACUUAUAGGUCUGCUACCACUGUCUUUUAGGCUGACUUUGACUAUAUCUUAGGCUGACUACCCCUAUUAGCAUUCCAUAUCUCCUCUUGAACUCUACCUUUACGGACUUCAAUACUGUCUGUGGCACUAUUAGAAUAUAGAAUGGAGCCGGUACUGACUAGAAUGGAGCAGUAGGAAGAGGAGCAAGGACCGAACAGGUGCCAACAAUACUUUUACUCAUAACUGGGGAAUCAAACACGGGCUUCUAAGACCUUAGCUCGGAACUUAGCCUUACCAACUUGACUUUCAAACAAAAGCUGGUGCUUUUCAUUCCUUAACUAAUUACUUCGAACCUUAUUGUAAGUGCUUGCAUUCUGUAUUAGUUCAUUUGAAUACUUUCUCUGACAUAAUAAAGAAAGAAACCAGUGCUUCUCAACCUUAACUAGUUACGUGCCCAAACAAGACUCUAGCUCAUAACUUCACUAGGCAUUCAACCACCGAUAACAAGAAGCAACCUUAGGAAUAUAGAUUCCUGGAGCAGUAAGCAAUCCCCAUUCACCAGUAGCAAAGCCUUACUUGUAUUCGUUUCAUUUACGUGCAGCUUCUUUUCAUUCUGUAACUAAUGAUACAGAUCUUUGCUUCCGAACCAAAACCUCUUUUGCCUUUAGUCUUGCUUUACAGUAAGCCCAUAUCUGCUCUCCUGUCAGUUAGCCCUAACUCUAGCUUUCAUUCUGUUAUUUGUCCCUCGCAUUUCCGUAGUUAACCCCAGGGUCUACCACUAAUGUAUCUCAGUAUCCCUUUCCAGUAUUAUAUUCUAUAACUAUGGCAUGGGCUCCUAGCUUCUUAGAUGGAGUCUACCUUUCCGGGCUAUCAAAUACUACUAUUGAAAAACCACUCAAACCCAUUAGCCACCAAUAAACUCCAAUAAUACUGUAAUAAUAAUCCAAAUAAUCCGUUUUGUUGUUGUUAUUACGCCUGAUAUGCUCGGCAAACGGAACUGCAAUAAGAAAUCCAACUAAUGUAUUUAUGUAGAGUUAUUACUCCUGUUGUCUUCGGCGGUAGCGAGUUAAUCACUACUUGGAUCAAAUCUGACCUUACUGACUUUUCUUCUUUAAAUAAAUACCGAUCCGGGUCCUUACUUGCUUUCUUGCUUGCUCGUUUCAAAAUGAGAUUACUGCUCCUUGCUUCUUCUACUGCUAACAAUAGGCCUGCCACACUGACAUCUGAUCCGGGCUUUACCACCUAUGUACCCGCCUCUCUGCUUCCAUUAUACCUACCCUUGCUAUCAAUCCGCCCUUCCUUGCUUUUAUUCUCUCUAAUAUGGAUUCAAUGGCUAUACUUAUGAACUCAUCAAUGCCUACUAUGCCCGAGAUAUAGGCUUACUCCACUUGCUUUUAAACCUAAACUAGUGCUUUCAUUACCGAUACUAAGAUUCACCACUACUCUAUAAGAAUACAACAAAUACGGAUAGUCUGAUAACUUACUGAUAAUAUGAUAACUCGAAACUGGGAAUCUCUAUAAUAGAAAAAGGAAUUCCUAUACUAGAGCCUAUUCCUUAGCUACUGACUUGAAAACGGGAUCUCCGCUUUGACUCUACCAUUGCUAUAUCUCAUUCUAACUAUCCUUUGAAAGUCUACCGCUCCUUAGCUGCACUCUGUAGUCCAUGCCUUUCGCUCUUACUGAACCCGGGUUCCCUCUGUGGCUCUUUGCUUUCAUUCCCCUUGCUUAUAAACUCCAACUAGUGCUACCAAAUACCGGAACUGGGAGCUCCACCUUUCUACCCCUGCUUGAAAACUCAACCGAGUGCUUUUCGUUCUCUAUCCCCUGCAUCGGAUCCAGGCUUGCUAGCAUCCAACUUAAACAACAAACUAUUAGAAUAGAACCUGGGCACCGAAGCCCGCCCUGCCUCCGCUCCCCAACAUCUAUUCCUUGAUCCGAGCCUUGCUAUACUGGCUUAUCGUUUUACUGUACUGACUUUGAAGCUGUAUAUCCGCCCCCACUCUCUGUGUUACCCCUUAUUCUUAGUAUGUGGAUCUCCUCGCUUUCAUUCUACAACUGUUGACUUUCAUUUUGUAUUUAAACGUUAUUGUGUAUAAUAUCGAUUAGUAUUUUCAGAAGGAGAAACCUAACAACGUUGCUUGUUUCAGCCCGGAAGAUACUAUUUCAUCUCUUAUACCGGAAUUCUUCUCCGCCAAGCAAAAGCAACUACGCACCAACCUCUAUAAGCAUUAAAGUCAAAAGCACUACCCUUAACAUAAAGUAAGCUAUUAACUAUUGACUCGGUUUAUCCAAGAGCAGAACAUCUCUCAGCGGCAAACAGAUACUAUACUAAGAAUAGAAAGAAUAGGUAUGAUUGCAAAGAAAACUUCAAAAAGAAACUUCAUAUAGUAUAUUUCUUAUGUGUUAUUACUGAAGAUGUGCCCUUAAGUAAUUGGCGCCCAGCAACUACAUUCUGAAAUGCCUUUGAUCUUAAUAGUAUUGAAAGUGCAUUUAUAUAAUAUUUGAGAGUAGUUCAUUAGAGAAAACCAGUCCAAAAACAGCAACUUAUUUGAUCUUUUUUGAUCCACUAAAACCCAGUGUUUUUCAUUUGUAUUUGAGAUGGCCCUGCGAUGAAUGCGCUUAGCCCCCCGAAGAGUGUGCCAGGCCCAAUGAAUGAGCGAUGUAGCUUUAAUAAUGCGCUUAACUACUUGAAGAGUGAGUUCGCCGACCUUGACAACUAGCAAAGAAUUCUGUAUGUUCUUCCAAAGAUUGAAGGAUGAGUUACCCGACCCUGCCCCAACUGCACAGACUGACUUAUGGUACUUUCGGACUUUACUAUGUGAAUUGAGGAAUGAGGUUUCCUACAAGCAUUUAGUGGUGGUGCUCGCCGCGCACCUCAAUGAACGCAUUAUUGUUGUUGAUCGCACCCAAGAAGCGAAGAAUUGACGAUGUACCUUUGAUGCAUGAGCUAUAUCGCCUUCAGAAUGAAUGCCACCUCUGACUUCGGAGACUAACUCCCGUAGCUCUAAGAAUGAGUGGAUGUUACUGACUGAUUGAAUUCCCGGCCAAGCGUAUACGUUAGACCGCCAAGCUAGUAAAUAAUCUAUCUAUUGUAAGUAGCGCUAGGGCUGCAAGCAAGGGAACAAGCACAAGCAGGGUAUGGGUCAUUAGUCAAGUUAUAAAGCAAGGGUAGAAAAAGUGCUAAUGUGAGUAAAGUCUUAUACGAGCGAAAGUUCAUCUAUCUCUUACCUCUUUUGACCAAUAGAAUAUCCAUAUGUUUUCACUCCCUUAUUUGAUUAUCUUUCUUCUGCGCGUAAGAUGUAUGCCCCUGCACUUUCACUGUCAACUACUUUCUCUGAUGACUGGACCUAAGAUGGAAUAAUGACCCCCGGUUUCUAUUCAAUACACCAAUACUAAGCUUGUUCAUUUUCCCUUUCUUUUGCUUCACUUAGUACAAUAGGUCAUUUAUCUACCCUUAUGGAAUUGAGUGCUCCACCUUAAUAGAAUUGAAAACCAGCUUAGCUUCCAAACCAGUAAUAUAUUCUGCCCGGCGCACAAAAGGGUUGGAAUAUCAUUGAGUGCAAGGUUGAUUCGUCCAGCACUGUCCACGACAACUACAUUCAAGUAUUGUAGGGAAAUUCAAUAGAACCGGUGCAAGCAAGGGCAAGGGAAGAAAGAAGCAAGGAGUAAGCGCUGUGAAGAGUCAGCAUCAGCAUAGUCAGCAUCCGUAGUCAGAGGUAUAAUAGAAGAGUCAGCAUCAGCAUAGUCAGCAUCAGCAUAGUCAGCAUCAGCAGUAAGAGGUAUAAGGUUACAAUAACUUCUAUAACAGAUGCUAGCAAGUCGAGAAUGCCCACGGAGCGGUCUUGUAUCAAGGAAAGCACUAUCAAUCAGGUAGCCCCGAGUAGUGGUGGCCCAACAACAUAAUGCUUCAGUGAGAGAGGUCAGAUCACCAAAAGCAGAGGGAAGGGAGUGGAAUAUAGACAUAGGUCAAGUGGAAAGUAAGUAGCCCUUGUAACCUGCAAUGAAAUUCUGUCCUGAAGUAGCGUAUCCUUCUGUUCGAGUUGACUCGUACUAUCUAAGAAUAAUAGGCUAAAGCAGUAUCCCAGAGAAUCGGCUGUUUCAGUUUCAAGAAGCUCGCGUAUCGUUGAGCAUAGAAAAUGUGGUAAUUGAGGUAAGAGGAGGUGUGUGUUGUCUCGUGGAGAAUUGCCUUAUUCCUAUUGCCCUACAGUCUCUCUUUACAACGCGGGGAGGUGAGAUAGAUAGUUCUUCAAUGAUGUUCUUGCUUGUGCAAUCGUAUAAAGAAAGAAGACAGACAGAAUGCGAAGGCUAAAGGAAGAGUAUAAUAUAGAAUCCAAGUAAUAGGACACUCCCAAGUUCGUUUGUCUCCGGGUGGUUACCGAUUUACUAGAAAGUCAGUUUACCGCAGAAGUCAAGUAUCGUUUUGGUAUUGAAGAAACAGGAUAAGAAAGAAAGUCGACCAUAUCAGAUGCGAGAGCUGGCGAUUCAGAAUGUCCGGAUUCUCCGUCUUUUAUGUUCGAAAGUGAAGUUAUGUUAUCAAGUCAGGAACAAGGCGUUCAACAAGUGGUGUUCUAGCAUUGUCUGGGAGCUCAGUUCUUUACCUUCCCCUUUGCUUUAACCGAGUUUGUUAUUAGUCGAGUUGGGGACUGCAUAAAUUCCUUCAGAUGCCCUAAGUGUAUACGAGUAAGGUUUAGCUAAGUGUAUACGAGUAAGGUUUCAAGUUGGCAACCUUGUAGUUAAGGGUUUCCUAGGUCAAUAUUGCAAAUCAUAUGUUUGACUCGGUGCUUAGGAGAAAGUUUGCAAUGAAUAAUUAUUGGAAUGAAUCUUUGAGUUUAGCGGAAGGGAGUGUCCAUUUCAUGUUGAAAUCCUUUGUAGCAUUCCUAUUAGAUAGAUAGGCGGGAGAGUUCCAUUCAUUAUUGGAAUAGUGAUCAAUGGGGUAGCAUCUCACUAGUCCAACUGUUGUAUUAGUUAACACUGGUGGCCCUACUUACACUUACGACUCGACUACAGCAAGCAACAGCGGCAUAUUGUGGUCCAAGCAUAAAAGGAGGUAAAUAUAGUUAUGUUCGAGUGGAAUCCAACUAGAAGAAAAGCUACUACGUGAGGCUAAGUCUAUAUUUUCGGAAUCCAUCUUUUGGCAACAAGAUCUGAAGAAGGAAUGGAUUAAGAAGCACAUCUCACGCGAGAAAGAAUUAGUGACUUGUUGGAUCAGCAGUAAGAUAAGAGAAUCCAUCCCGAGUUUCCGACUUACUAUUUCGUUGUUGUCGACUCGAAUCGGUAAUAAGGUUGAACUGAACCCUCCUUAUUGUAUAGAAGCUAGAGGUAAUAUUCCACACUGCCAUCUAAUCUUUGUAAGUGAGAAAUGAUUGAAUUCCUGUGCUGGUUGACUCGAAGCAACAAGAAAGAUGACUGGUUGGUUUACUUGCGAGUUAGGGAACGGAGUUUCGAGUUUACAGGGUAGGUGAGCAGCUUGAUCACCAUUCCUAUUAGCGCAUCAGGUCAAUUAACUUCACUGUUUUCCUCUUCCUAUCUUCUUCCUAUUAGAAUAUCCCACUUUUUUCCUUUUCCUAUCUUCUUCCUAUUAGAAUAUCCCACUUUUUUCCUCUUCCAUUAGGAUUCUUUGAAGAAUAAGUGGAAGAAAGCAGUGGCUCUCUGUAUCGCUACCGUAAUUCUAUCUAUCUAUCUUCCAGAGUAAAUCUCAAUUGAUGCUGGAAUAAGAGCCUCCCUUUAUAACUCAGUAGAAGUUGGAUUCAUCCCUUUAUAACUCAGUAGAAGUUGGAUUCAAAGAAGUCGUCUAAACUUGGAAGUUCUGGCUACGAGGUCCCUAGCAAUAGGGGAAUGGAAGGGGGAUGGAUGUGGUUAACUAGUCUUUUUUAGCUAUUUGAUCACUACAGAAGUCAAUCGGUUGAAUGCACAGGUGGAUAGCUUUGAUAGUCCGCCAGGUUGAAUGCACAGGUGGAUAGCUUUGAUAGUCCUUUUUUUCAUCUUCUGGAUUUUCUUUUCUCUUAUUGACUCGCUAUACGGUUAUUUUCGAGUGACCCUAAAAACAGCAGUGGCAUUCCCACUUUACGACGAUACUAUGUCUAUAACCGCCAUGCUGAACAGAAGGGUUCUAGCUUCAGAUGUCCGAAGGACCUUCCUUUCUUUUCCAGAGAAAUCUCCUUCUUUAUCUUCAAAGACUGUUGUAAUUCUAUAACGGGAGUGAAAAGAGAGAGAGUUUUCCUUUUCUAUGAGUUGGUUGGUCACAUAUGAUUGUUUUGAUCCUAUUCGUGAGCACCUUUUUGACUUCUUUUACUUUUCCUUACUUGCCAAUUUGGAGCUUCUCGUAUCACCAAGGGAAGAACUGUUACUUCAAUAUCUGUCUUCUUUCCAUCAAAUGAAACACUCUUCUCCUCGUUCAGAGCUAGGCGAGAGCACUCCGCUCCUAUUCUUUAAUGAUUGACCAGGCACUGAAGUAGAUGUUUCGAUCAUCAGUGUUCACCUCUUUGUGUCAUUGCUCGAGUUGCCAGUUUGAGAUUUCUUAUUCAGCCUUACCUCUAUUCGUUCUCUUAUCUCUACCUUUUUCAUUUCCGCUCUACCCCUUUCUUUCUCCAGGGCAUUCCUAGAAAGUAUAUUCUGGUAUUUUUCCCUCUAUCCAAUAGAGAAUCGAGCAUUCCAGUCUUCUUUAAGAGAAAGAUCUUGGGCUAGCGUUGACCGGCCAGUCGGCACUUUAGGCGGUCUCGUCGAUCCAAUCACUUCUGGGGCUUCAACUCUCUGGUUUCAAGUUCGAGUGGGAUGUGUUAAGUGAAGCAUCUUGUUUUAUCCUUGCUUCAUCGAAAACUCUUACCUACUACCUUUAUCGAGCCAGUUUGGUUACAUCUCAUCUCUUUUUUCUUUCCAAAAGUGAAGGUUACUGCAAAAGUCGAAGUCAAAGAAUAUGCUGUGGACAAUCAUCUGAGGAUAUUGAGUAGGUACAAAACCCAUAGAAAAAAGCUGCAUCGCCCUAUUCUGGAAGGUUGUUUCCUACUGAGGGGGUAGCGUUACGGUUAGCUAAACGGAAAAACACAAACCUCACACACAUAUAUAGGUGUUGAACCCCAAUAGAAGCCUGUACAUAGCUAGGCAAUAAGUGAAGCCAGGCCACGCAGACAAGACACGUAGUUAGACCGCAAAGCAGACAAAGAUGAGCCAUAGGUAGAGGAGAAAGAGUGAAAAGAGCUAGUGCUGUAUUCGUUGGUGUUCAAGCGUUAGCAGGGAGGCCCAAGAAGACCACUAGAUUCAAGGGUCAGAGUUCCAUUUCCAUUGAGGCACCAUCUCUUCAAUUCCUAUGAUAGAUAUAUGAAUGCAGUAAUAGUAAUCAAUUAAGAAAUUCCGUAUUUACUCGCUACUCAAAGUAAUGAUAUGAAUGAAUGGCCGUCCCGCAGUAGCUCUUUAUCGGAGAAGUAAUUGUAUCGCAGUAGCUCUUUCUCAGAGAAGUAAUUGUCUCGACAAGCAAGUACACAGGCAACUAGUUACGAUAAGUAAGAAAAAUCAAAGCACUCGUUUUGCAGUUCGAAAGGAAGCUACAAGCCGGUAAGAUGAAAUUCAAUGAGAAACUUUCCAUCCUGUUUUCAAGGGGAAUCUGAAAGGGAAGCAGUGUAUUUAUGCUGGUAACUAUGGAAUCCAAGGUGUAGUGGUGAAGAAUAAGGGGGUGUAUAGGGAAGGGGAGUGGAAAUCGAACUAGAUCGUAACCAAUUCGAAUAUCUAUGUACCUAAUGCGCUAGCAAUUAUGUAUUACGGCCCCCAAUUGUCAUUAUUGUAAUUAAUAUACUUGUUUCAAAAGUGUGAAGAGCAGGUUUGGAAGCAGUACCCGAGUAAGCAGAUGGAGUUGGAAGCUGUUCUGUUGACUAAACCCCGGGGCUAUAUAAGUAUUCCGUAUUUAAGUAAGCAGGUAGAUAAGCAGAAGAAUAAGUUGAAAGAGCAAGAGCGGAACGACGUUAUCUGUCCUGUGUUCGUAACCUGUGUCCUUAAGUAAUUGGUGUCCGAGUAACGCAAAGCAAGGAAUUCAUAUAAAUACGUUCUAUAAUUAGUUCUUACAAGUCCUGUCUUCGCCUGCUCUUAUAGUAAGUUGUAAGAGGAAAGUACCGGCUUUGAUUGUUCGGUAAAGUAAAGUAUAAAGAUCUGAAUCAGCAGUUGUCGAACUUUGAACUGUAGUAUCACCCGCCAAGUAGAGUAAACCCCGGGUUUCUUCUUUUGUUUGAUACCUGAAUGAGGCUCCUGUAUUUAUCUAGUUGCGAGUAGCUUGGCAUCUCUUCUUUAGUAGAGGACCAGGUAGUUAAUUACUUGAUUUUCCUUUGUUUGUAGUAGUUGCUUGUCGACGCUAACUUUCUUCUUUAUCUAAGCUAACUUUCUUCAUAUGCUUGUUCCCUGAGAGAGUUAGGAGUGAGAAUACCCGGAGUGAAAGGAGUCCGGAGUCAAAGGUGUGGAGGUCGGUUCGGGUGUUCCUGUUAAUAAGUUAGGCUCGGGAAGCUAUUAGUUUCUUUCUAAAGCAAAGAGAGAGGCCAGGCCGGGAGAAUACUUUCAUUAAUGGAGCAAGAGUAGAGGUCUAGUAGCAAGAGAUGAGCCAGGACUUUCAAGGAAUAAGCACUAACGGGUGUUGCAAUACAAGAUCAGAGGCUAGAUCCAGAGUAGGAAUCAGAGGUGAGGAAGCUGAAUCCAGUGCUUCUGAAUAGGAAUAUUGCAAGUAAGCUGCUGUCGGGUAUGUUCUUGUUUGUCGAGUGUGAGUGUCAUCCCUAGUUUCGUGUGAAAGUCCUGUGUUCGGGAGCUACUGUCGCUCAGGCUUAAACCUAUGUUGCUUGGCGCUUUCAGGCUUAGUACCACUCGUUUCAUCCUAUCCCUUGCUAGCUCCCCUCUUUGACUAAUGAGUUGAUUCUCGCUUGAGAACUGACUUGGCCCCUGGACUUCUUUCGUAUAAAAAAGAUAAGUAGGCUAUGCCUCACUGAUGCACGACGUCUUGUUGCGCAGAGGAAAGUGGAGUCUUCUGGUUGUUUACUCCAAUCUAUUUCUUCUAUAAUAGGUGUGGUGUGCACACUCCAUUCUGAAAACAUACCCACGGAUCUUAAAGGGUAGAUCAAUAGCAGCGGUAACUCGCAAUAAGAUAAGGAAAUCAAGUAUAUUCUUUUUUUGGUCAGAUUUCUUCACACAUUCAUUUUGCACUAAAUAAAGCAUAGAGUUUAGAGUGAGGUUGACUAUUGCAUAAGUAUAUAAAGUUAGCAGUACCCAAAGAGACUCGCAUUCUACAGUAUACCGCGCACCCUACACAUCUACUGUUGGAUUGAUUUCAAGAUUUCAUUCGGAUCAUGCUCUUUCUGUAUCCAACAACUACUAAACAAGCUACUCCUUACGGGCAAGUCAAAGAAGAAUGAAUAGAAUCUCUCUUGCACAUACAUUGUAUAGAGAAUUGGGUAAUAUUACUUAAUUCCAUAUGAUUUGCUCUAAAGUCAUAAUGGAGGCUUUCAGCACCUUGCUUGUUUGCUUGUUUAUUCAGUUGUGCUAACGUACGAUUAAUUAUAGUUCCUGUAUUCAUGGCUAACGGAUCUCAAUAAGAUAGAAGUUCCGGAUUCGAGUCAGAGAUCUUUUUGCUGGUAUUGACUAUAUGGCCAAGUGGAAUAGCCUGACAGUAGUCGAACCUGGUUCACUAUUUGGAUUCGAUCAAGUAGAAAUCUCUUGCGCUUGAAGGAAGACUAUCUUGUAUAGGGCCCCCCCAAACCGAUUCUCAAAAACCACCCAUAAAUAUAAGUAAGAACAAUAGCAUGUCCUUGGAGGGAGAGCUAUUUGAAUUCAAGAUGCGGAUUUGUCGUAGGAAAGAUAUAGGAUGGUUGGCUGUGACAAGAGCUGGUUACCCCAGUCUGCAUAAUCAAUUUGCUCUUACUGCUUUUUUCUCUUUUUCUUCCUAAUUCUGUUUCUUCUACUAAGGGAUCGGUCUUCUUCUCCGCAUCCCUACUUAGCACUAGUACUUGUUGCCGGUCUUCUUCUCCGAUGUCACUCACGUAUAAUAGACAUACGGUCUUCUUCUCCGAUAACUAUACUAUAUAACUAUGUGGUCUUCUUCUCCGCAUAUAGUACUAAGAUCAGAAUUCCACCAGUGCCAGCAAGAACCAAACCGGUGCUUCCAAGGCUUCAACUCGUGCUAGUGAGAAUGCAACCCAUGCUUCCGAGCCUGAUACGGUGCCUGCUAGGUAUGUAGCUAGGGAGUCAAAGAAUGAAAAACCAGCCCCCUGAUUCCCAGCCGGAAGCGUACUGGAUCGGAAUGCACCUCUGUAGUUACAGGCUUUAUUAGGAGCUAGCCCGGCCGGAGUAGAGCUCGUUUUGGUGAACUGCAAUGAUCUGGUUUACUUACUUUGUUUACAGAGUCGAGGUAGGCCAGAUAAGAGAGGUAGGUUCGGCAUGAUAGUAGAUAUAGUAGUUCCGGUUUGAUAAGGUCUCAUCUUUCACCAAGGAAAAGAGGUAAGCAAGAAAUCGGAUAGGUAGGUUCGGGGCCAAGCUACGAGGCAAGUAACACCGGUAGACCAAGCAACGAGGCAAGUCGACAACACUAGUUCCAUAUAGUUCCCCCCGAACACACACAGGAAUGGACUCGUUCGAAACUUUCUCUUUAAUACUUUCUCUUUAAUAAAUAAGAAGAUCUUCCGAAACUCAAUCCUUAAUAAUACCGAAACUCAAUCCUUAAUAAUAACAGUGAUUUGGAUAGUGCUUUUUGGCUACUGUUUGUGUAGUGAGUCGGUACAUAAGAAAUGGAAGUGAUUUUGCAUCCUUUUUCAUCCUUGCUUCUCUAUUAUGACAGUGUUCAGUAAACUCAUCACUCCUGAAAUACUCCUGAAAUGCAGUAUGUAGGGGGAACUAGUACAGAGUUGGUAUAGGAGAAAGAGAAGUCGUUUUUCAUCUCCUUCAAUUCCGUAUGUAGGGGUUGAUACCAUAAUUCUUCCCACUUCUGGAAAUUAAGUAUUCCGGGGUUUCUAUCUGAAUUCUUCCAAUUGCUGCUGUUCGAAGGCCUAGAACACAAUUGUAAGCAUGGAAGCUCAUAACCAGUUUGUUUCGUUUGUUAUCCGACUUUCGAUGCCCACUUAAUUAAUUGGUGAUACGACAGGCGUUAUUGAGACUAAGGCCAGGGACCGAACCUUGCUCUACUUACUGAAAAGCUGUCUGCUUGCCGUCUUGUCUAGUCGUUGCUUGGCUCUUUUUAUUAGUAGCUCAGUUCUUUGGCAGCCGAGUUACAUUCUCCAAUUUAUGUCCUUACAUUCUAUGACUUCUGAGUUGGAUUACCCAUAGUCCACACAACCAUCAAGUAUUACAAGCACUAUUUUCUUUAUUUAUUAUAAGUCUUAUUACAGGGAUGUUACAGAACGAAAGGAAAGAGGGACAGGCAACGAGGCGGUAGUUUGAGUUUCUAAUAGUUUGGUAGUGAUUUCAGUCUAUCGGGGUAGUGAUGCAUUCUCUUACCUAUAUUAGUGGAAUUACAGGUGAUGAGUUCGAGUAUUGUUAUUACUAGUCAAGUUCCUGUUAGCAUCAGUUCGAUCCUCUCUUUACUAGUAGCUCAAUUAUCCGUUUUGAGUUUUAUGCCUCAAUUACUUAUUCCUUUUUUCGAUUUUGAUUCUACUAGCUUUUACCACAUCUCUGCAUGGUAGGUGUAUUCUUUAUCCCUUGCUUUCAAGCUAGCUGUAACUACUUUACCUCUAAGAAGAACUACUACCAUAUUAGAUGAAACUAGAAAGUGGCAAUACAACUACUGAUAGCAAGCCUAACUCUUUAGUUAAUAGAACUCGACACCUGGGUCCUAGCUUUCCACCAAUAAUUGCCACUCGUCCCCUACUACUUGCAUUCUAUUACAACUGAUUCGGAUCUUUAGUAUUUGGGGGUUGUUUCAGCCUUGAGAUCAGUAGCGAAAGCCCUAGUUCUUAGUUUCAAUACUGUUACCGAUAAGGAGGAUGUUUACUAUGAGUAAUAAAAUGAAUGAAAUCAGAAAACUAACAAGUAGGGAUACCGGGCUAGGUUAACUAAUAUUAAGUAGAAGAACCAGACAAGUGCCCCUAACUACUUCACCUAAGAAUAAAGAAAUUCACUGGAACACUGGAAUCAUACCAAUACUAAUAAGAACCUCUCUCCUGGUAAUACUGAAGCUGCUAACUAGGGAUCUCGCCACAGCUGCAGAUCCUCACUUGCUUGUUUCAAACUAAAACCCCUGCCUUGAAGCCCUCUUUUGGACUUUGAAUUCUUUAGCUCCACUAUAAGCCUUACUAUCCGGGUUUUCAUAUCCCAGCUUCUUAGCUUCAGCCUUCCACUUACCAGCUCCAUUCUGUGACUCACUUGUUUGAGUCUUGCUAGUAGUAGUUCCAUUCCUUGACUUUCUCUGGCUUGGCUCCGAUACCUAUGUAAACAAUUCUAACUGAACUGCUGACCUUGUCGACCUCCUACCUAUGGCUCUUCUCUUGCUAAUCUACCUCUGUAAACAGCAAAUCUCUCAUCUCUGGACUACUCUCCUCAAGCGUAUACUACUGGACUGGACUAAAAUCUAACUCGGGCUACUCGGUCUUUAGACUAUAACUCGAACAGGAUCGGUAUUCCAAUAAGAGUAACUGACCUCGCCUCUCCUCUGUCUCUUAACUACGAAACUACUUGCUCCCCGGGCUCUGUCAACUAAUUCCAUGAAAUGAUUCUCUUUCUUGCACCGAAUUAACCAGUAAGGCCUAACUGCUUCCCUACAGUAUACUGCCUCCACUGCCUCGGAAGCUAAUGAAACUAUCCGGUAAAGAAUGCAAUUCCAAGGAAAGAAACUGGGCAUUGAGCUAGGGUAUAUUCGAACUGUAUUGACUUGGCGGGGGUGCUCCUACUCUUGGGGUGCAAGGAAAGCCCUCUCCCUCUCUAUCUGGUUUUAGUGACUAUCUUUUCUGUCCUUACCGCUUCGUUGCUUGCUCGCUCUUUAUUCCUCUCCGAUAACAAUACCUCUGUCAACAAUUAACUGAAUUCUUCUCCCUUAGCUACUAUAUACCUGUCAUUGCUUACUAUCUUAACCACUAGAAUUCUAUCGGCACUUAACAACUGGAAUUCACAGGAACAGAAACACGAGCAAACACACUGCAUUUCUCUCUUAACUACUUUCAUUCCACUCUUCCUCGAACCUAUCUCUCCUCGGAUCUUCUCUGGAUCUUUGAACUCAGGCUUUAUACCUAUGGCUACUACUACUGAUGAAACAGGACUACUACUACUAGAUGAAAACCUAGCUAAAUCCUCUUAUUCUUAUUCUUAUACAAAGAGAAGUGAGAAGGGAGAGAAGAAACGGACUAAGAGAGCAGAAACGGACUAAGGGAGCAGAAAAGGACAAAGGUAAUCUUUAAGAUUGACAUUAGGAAUUGUAAUCAGAGUGUCUAUUUGCUCAUUGCUUAACACAAGCAAACAGACUAGAAGGGCCUAGACCUUUACGCCACAGUACUACCGGUAUUCAACAAGAACAGGAGCUCAAAAGCACUAAUAACUAGAGGAAAGAAACCAUAAAGCAACUUACUAGAAGGGCCCUGUGCUGUCAACCCAACAAGUCACUACUAGACGUUACUCGCCCCCAAAGAGUAGAUACGAGUUUACUUCCAUCCCCCAAAGAGUAGAUACGAGUUGACUUCCAUCCGAUAUGACCGAAAUGAGUCAAAUAAAUGAGUCACAUUAGUAACAAGUUCUUCUAUACCUCUGGCUCUGUCAAGCUACAACUACUGAUGCUGAUUCUCUUUCUUCUUAUUAAGUACACAGCUUCCCGAAACUGACUAGAAGGGCCUCAACUCGGAGGGCUCCUGCCGCGCAACUAACUACGUUGCUUGGCCCCGCUUCAGAAUCACCAUUCUUCUAGGGCAACUAGAACUAUGGCAACUCAACCUUAAGCAGAAGCAACAGGUGGAUCAGCGACUCCUAUAGUCCUAUAGUUAUUAAGAGAUCGGCUCCUAGACCUUAGUAAAGAAAUACAGAAGAAAACUCCGUAGUGAAAGAAUGCAACAAGCUGCUUUAUCAUAUCCCUCUCCUCUCGCAACAAAGAAAGAUUCCACUAAAACCAUUAACUUUAGGGCAGCUUGUCAACUACUUAUGAAACAGGUUCGGUGCCCUUGCCUCUCUCUCCUCUUUAAACAAAUACUGUUAGGACUCUGGACUACUCUACAACACCUCCGGCUCAUCCAACUCUGUAAACUAAGAAAGUUAGGGCUCUCAUCUCAUCUCUUUUCACUCUGGCUUGGCUCUAUCUCCUCUGUAAACUAAUCAAGUUAUUGCUCUGGACUACUCGUAUACUCAGUAAAAGCCUUAUUGUAUCCCGAACAUACCUCAGUUAGAGAUUACUUUACUAGCUGCCUCGCCUCCGGUAAAGCACCGAACCAGCCUCUGCUUCCCUAGCUUGCCCAGGGCUUGUCUACUUAUGAAACUCGGGAUUCCACUAAUUCCAUUAAGUCUACCUCAGCUACUGAUGAAACAGGGGGUGCCGACCUAAACUCUGGCUCAUCUCCACUAGACCUCUGUCAACUAUUUCUUUCAUUCUUACUUCAAACAAUAGCUCUUAUCUUUCUUCCCCGACCCGACCUAUCUACCACUACUAAUAAGAUUGAAACUAGCAACUCUCACUCGAUCAGGAACAGGGGCUAAAGGGAACCAUCAAUCUUAUAGGCAGAAAUUACUUAUAAAGACAGUUUCUUAGUGGAAUGGGAAAUACUUCUAAAAACAUCUCAAAAUGCUAAAUCAUGCUAUUUUCGUAUAUAGAAAUUAGGAUAUCAAGUAGAAACCUUCAAGUAGUUGCCCAGGUUUACAGCCAGGAAUAGCUUCCCUUGCAGACCCUACUUCUGGAGUUUGAGCACCCGAACUCGCCUCUUAUAAGUGUUAACACCGAACCUACCUAAACAAAUACAGAAUUCCACUCACCCUCGACCUAGAACUAUUACUGGCACUGGGCUCUCCUUCUUACUGAACUGCUGACCUUGUAAACCCUUAACCUCUCAUAAGUGUUAACCUCGACCCGAACUAACUCUAUCUGACUUGCCGACCUAUCCUAUAGACUGACUAGAAAUAGCAAGAAGGAAGAGAAUGAGCAUCUGAUUGAUCCUAAAGAAGAUAAGAAAAAGCGGAGGGGCAAGCAAAGCAAGCGCUGGUAUUGUUCCAAGUAAGGGAAUUCUGAAUUCUAGUAUUUGGAGUCUUAUGCUUUGAAGGCUUACGGUAAGGCUUAGGUUUCUCUGCGGGUAGGGAAAGAGCAACAGAGACUAGAGCUUAGGGAAGACAUUUCACCUACUAAGACCCUCCCUUAAACGCCGAAUUCUGUUAGUGCUGUCUUUAACCUUUUAUAGCUUGCAAUUGAUCUUUCCCUUCGUGUACGCCCACUGAAGCAGGAAACUCAUCUCUUUUAAAUAGAGUCUACGACCUGAAUAACCGAGAUCAUCUUCUAUUCGUGACUCACUAUCGGAAUUUGGAAGAGAGAACUAAGCCUUUCAUUCCAUUUUGAUAACUAUCGCUUCUAAGGCAAAUAAUGUAACCCGUGAAAACAAAGAAAAGAAAGAGAAGAGCUUUAAGGAAUAUGGGAAUAAUAUUCAUGGAAGUCGCGGAACACCAAGACAAGACACUCGUUGGGAACCGGGGAUGAAUAAGGCCUCUUUCUAUAAGUUGAAGCAAGGUGCUGAAAGCCUAGACAAACUACUACUAAUGGGCAAGCUACGUAUAGACUCAAAGAGUAGGGAAAGAGACUAGAAAUCCGGUGUUAAGGACUAGCUUCUGAAGCACUAACUGAGUUUCAAAGAGCCAUCGGAAGUCUGCUUUGCUAUCCGCACUAUUUGACUCGCAGCUCGCAAGAGGUAUUUCUGAGUUUAGUAUAGUAAAGGAGUUCAAGAGGAAAGAGAGAGUUUACUUAUUAGGAGUUACAGAGGUAUUAUACACUAUUGCACCAGAGUUUGGAUACCGGCACCUGGCAAAGCUACUACUACAAAGACAUAGGGCCAAUGUUCGUGUGUAGCGGCAGGAGCCCCGGGUUAGCCAACAUAACGAAACUCAUAAGCACAAGAACGCGAAUCAAACUCCAAAGUCGGAAUUUCACCCAUAGGUAUUAAUAUAGGGAAUCCAACAAGUAAGUAAAAGACAUAGGUACGAUAACUAGUACUAAUGGGAAUCCAACUUGAGAUACAGAAUUCCACUCAUUUGUAUAAGACUCAAACUAGGCAUUGAAGACAGGAGUCUCAGACGAAAGGCCAGGGGCGAUAAGGGCGAACAAAAGAAGUAGGGCUUCAACGUGAUGCAAGGGUAAACUACAGGACAGAUAUAAAGGAAAGGGAGAUGUGAGAUCAGUCAAGUCAGAAUGGAGGUAUAAAAGUAGAGAAUGGAGUUUCCUUCAAACUUUAGGAAUUUAGAAACAAAGAUGGGCAAGCUACUCUGCUAUUUACUUAUUUAAUGCUAUUUAAAGCUAUUCCGCUACUCCUACUGUUACUACUUGUUUGGGCUGGAAACCUGGACUACUCUACUGAUGAAACUACUAUACUACUAAUUGGGGAUGAAACUCUCAAUCUGGUGUAACAAGAGAAGCAAGGGCAGCGUCAGCUGCUACUUAUUAAUAGACUUCCCGCUACUCCGAUACUAAGAUCUAGUAAGAAUACAUACCUCUGUAAGCCUUAGGAGGUCUCAUAAGAAAGGUAGUGCAGGACCUGAAGUAGACUCAUCACCAACAAACACAGACAAAACUCGAACUGGCUAUUAUCCACGAGACUAAACUAUCACAGCGGACUGUUUUCCUGGCACUGCUAAUUCUAGAUACCUGGCUUUGAUACCGAAGCAAGCUCUGGCAAUAGGCUACAAUUCUCUACUUCCCGAACUCGACUUGCUAUCUUUAGCUUCUUAUCCCAAGACUGGUUAACGCCGCCACUACUAUAGUAGGAGACAAUAAGUAUAGUGGGAGACAAUAAGGCUUUCCCGAGUAGUAGGAGUUCAAGGCUUACUUCUAUUGUUUAAUCCUAUCUAGGAGUUGGCAAAGGAUCUGAAGCUGUGUGGUAUGACAGCAGAGGAGUUCAAGAGUGGAGCUAGUUGUCUGCUUGCCGAGCCUGUAGUUUAUGAGUAGUUUCCAAGGUAUCAAUUCACUGGUUCAGAAGCGGUUGAAAGAUCAGACUUAGUUCAAAGAGUCAGAGGAGAGGGAAGAAUUCAGGUAGAAAACCAUCGAAUAGGAGUGUGAAGAAUGGAGUUUGCCCUAUUCUUUGAUGAGCGAGCACUUCCAUUCUCUUCCUUCCAAUCAAUCUGGCUAAGCUAAGCCGCACUCGUCUCUGGUUUAUAGUAAAGGAAAUUGUUGGCAUCACAUACAUCCUUACUGACCGUCUUAGUGUAUGUCGGCUGUACCUGUGGGUGGGGUGGAAGACUAACUUAUUAUCAAAGGAACUGAUCGUAGAGUUUAGGGUGUUGUUGGCAAUGAAUCUAAGGGCAAGUCGAAUCAGUAGAAUCUCUAAUAGAAGCUCUGCAGAGGUGCUCUAGCUCUAAGUCUUGUUUCGGGUGUCAGGAAAGCAGUCCGCCUGCCUCUAUCUGUUCUGUUGUCAAGCAAGUAGUGGAGUGGAGUAGUUUCAUAAGUAGUUGUAGCAAGAGGAGCGCAUUUCUAGGGAGAGGGAGUGUUACCGGAUUGGAUUCUAUAUUACAUGCGAGUUCAAAGCGGGUACUUUUCUUGUUUACAGUGGAGAAUUGCCUGUGACUCGGGUAGGGGAGUCAAAAGAGAGCACCAUCUUGUGAGGCUCGGCUGGUUUACUUAUUUAGUUGACAUAGGUAUCGGAUAAGAGCUAGAGGAGAGGAAGCCUAUUAAGUUAAGUAGUCAAAGUAUCGGUCGACCAGAGAAUCAGUAGUUACAAGAUCAUCAGCCGGGGGUUAAGCUGUUCCUAGGCAAUCCCAUUCUUAUUAGUGAGUCGAGGCCGGGGAAGGAGAUAGUACGAGUGAAGUUAUUGUAUCUAAGUAAUAGAGAGACGAAGGAUGGUUGGCUUAACCGAACCGAGUAGUUAAUGGCUUAACCGAGUAGUUGGAAUCUCUUGGGGGUGCUCCUACUCUUGUCUGCGAAUAGGGUCUUGCUCUUAACUCGGGUUUCUUGCCCUGGAUCAAUAGUAUUUAAGAAAGAACUUCCCGCGCGCAACUAGCACUUUUCAACUGUCACUUACUUACUUUCGACUGAACUGUCUUUCACUCGGGAUUCCACAAGAACUUGAGCAGUACUACAUUCCACUCGGGAUGAAACCACUAGAAAAGCUUCUUUUAAUUACAUUUCAAGCGGGUUUGAUCUCUGCCCAGCGGAUUAACUGGUAUCUCCCCUGUCUUUAAAUGAAGUUAUGAGUGAACCUUAUUAAUAGCGGCAGUGAGCUUACUUGUCAGGCCGGGUGUUGGCUUGUUGAAAGAAGUCUUUUUAGUCUGAGGUAGAUUCGGAAGUGUUUGUUUCCUAGGAGCCUUAUUCAGUUAAUAGGAGCGUUCACUGCUUACUUUAGCAAAUCAGUUAUAGGUCUAAGCGGUCUUCUACUCUGGAUCCAGAUCCUUAUGAGGUGCAGAUAUGAUAGUUUAGGCCCUCAACAAGAACCGCCGAUGCUGCUGAUUCUCUAGUUCGCCAUGAAGAAAGUUCUGUUGCUUGUUGGGUUAAGGUAAGAAAGAGAAUCCGGUCCAGGUCAAUCAGUAUAGUCUCCUUGUUAGCGAGGCGGUAAAUUAGAUAGUGCCUAUCCUCUGGUAUUUCUAAGUCAUUAUAUAAGAACAGCUACCACCUUCUGAGUCCUUUGCCCUUAAGUAAUUGGUUACGCGGCAGGAGCUCUCCCUUGCAGCCUUUUUUCUCGAGAAUUAGCAACUUUAUUGAUUUCUUUAUUUCCUUCCCGCUUGCAUCUGCCCUUAUAAUUAAUGGUAGACCUAACUGGCACUGUGGAUUCUAUCUCUCCACGACUAGAAGAUGAAAAGACAAAGAAGCUGCUGCAUAAGGGACGGGAGUAGUGAAAGUUGGUUGGUUACCUUAGAGCACAUGGUAGGCGAGAAAGAGGCUAUGGGGAGUUUACUUACUUUGCGGGUAGGUUUACUGACUUAGUUGACAGAGCUCGGGUCUAUUGAAGGUUGGGUCGGAAUACAGAUGCUGAAUGAACUGUUCUGGUUUCAUCAUAUCUUAGAGAAUUGCCCGGUGAAAAGAAAGAACAAAUCACAAAUAAAUAAGAAAAGUGGAGAAUCAGCUGUGCUUGUUGAGUCUAGGUUCGUAGCGAGGGAGAGUUAGAAGAGCAAUCCAAUCCAUAGUUAUUAAAGAAGAAAGUAUCGAAAGAAGGAAGUCCUGUCUUCGUACCCGGGUUUUGGUGAAGUGGAAUCAGUAGCUGAAGCAGCCAAUGAUAUAUAGGAGCUAGGAGCCGGAGUUAGAUUAGAUGAGAGCCCUGGAGUUAUUGGAUAAGAAUGAUGGUAUCAAAUGAACUGGAGUGGGGUGAAUUGACUUAGCUUCUUUCUUGCUAGAGUAUAUGCUUGCCUACUUGCUAUGUGUUUGUGGAGACAGAGGAGAGCGCACAUAGGUAUAUUAAUUACCGCAUCACUGCGAUCCAUCUUUUAGAAUGGAAUAAAAGGAAGAAAAUCCAAUCAAUGAGAAAAAGAAGGAGCUGUGGGAUUAGAGUCGAGGCCUCUAUAAGAGGGGUUCCAGUCCAGUAGUAUACGCUUGCCGGUGACAAGUAUCUUUCUGUUCUUGUUUAAUACCGAGUGGAAUCUUAAGUUUAUAAGUAGUGGUCCUGUUGACAGGUAAGGUUAGCCAGAGUCGAUGAACUCUUUAUUAGUUGCCGGAGGUGUUGUAUAGUAGUAAAGAGAUCCAAGUCGCUGUCCAAGGCAAGCUUAAGUAAGAAGGAGAAAUGAACUAACUGCCAGCUGCCCCUGUUCCAGUUAUAAAGUGAGGUUCGGAACCAGUUGCAUCAAACCCAGUGGUAGCUAGUCUUGGAUGAGCUAGUAGGGAAGUUCUAAUUGCACUCAGUUGGCAAGUAGUAUUGGUAUUAAUUACCCGAGGAUCUAGUAGUAGUAUAGUAGUCCAGAGCUAUAACUGGAUUAGUAGCCUGAGUCUAGGUCUGCAAGGUCAGCUGUUAGAGAAGAGCCAAGCCAGAGUUCAAAGAUACUGCUCGAGGAAGAAGAGAGUAAAGGCAAGGAAGCCAGUUACUUGCAGGGCUAAGUUAGGACUCUGAAAUAACAUAAUUUCUUUUGUAUAGGUGUAUAGGUAGUCCAGUUGGUAAGUCAACCAUAUUCUUAAAGGCAGUAAGGCAGGAGUCCCAGAUAUAUCACUGGGGAUGAAACUAGAAAAGGAACAGGAGAAGCAGACCGGUCCCUUAUUCUUAUUCCAGGGGUAGUUGCCAGCUGCAAUAGGGGCUGUUCUUGUUUGUGGAGUUACUUGGCGCUCUAGUACUGUUGCUUAUCCCGUAGCUUGUCUCUUACUUUCCAACUUAUGGGUGGAAUUACUCAGCUAGAGCUAGGUAAGUUAGGAUAAGAAUGAGGGUUUUGUUGCCAGUGUCUAGUACUAAUAGGUCUAAUCAGAAUGAAAGUUCACCAAAGGGGUCUCAUUGCUUGGCCCCUGUCAUUGGACUUGGUAUUAAGAAUACAACUACUACCAACCAGUCUUCACUCACUUAGCGCUAUUCCGCUUCUAGUAUAAGAUAAGAAUUCCACUCAUAUUACCGCAGAUAUAAUAAGUGGCACAGGACUGGAAGUUAAGAAAUCCGAAUUAGUUGACUUAGGAAAUGAAUUAAGGGCACAGACAAAGUGGAAGCUCCUCGCCAUUGCUUGGUUAGUAGUUACUUUGCUGAUAGCCAUAGGUAUAGGAUAUCUGAGUGAGAUUUGAGUCUAGUUCCCGUUCUAAAGUAUAAGGUUAUUACUGAUAUGACCGAUUCCAUUCUGAGUAUAGUACACCUGUUUGUUACUUCAUUGAAUCCCUAGUGGAAUCCGUAUUAGUUGACAGAGGAGAAGUAGAUAAGCUAGAGAGAUCAAAGAAGUAUUUGUUGCCAGCUGCUAGUGGAGAUGAGCCAGUGGAAUCCCGAGUUGACUCCCCUUCUUUUGUUGUUGCAUCCCCUGUUCUUGUUCUUGAUGAGACUGUUCGAGUUAGAGUUUCAUACCGGUAGUUGUAGUGACUUCUAGGCGUAGUGGUAGUGCUUUCUUGACACUAGCGUUGUCCCCUCGCGCUGUUGCCCUGCGGUAUACUUUCCGGAUGAUCACUUCAGCGGGCUAGACGGCAGUUUUUCCUCUGCUAGCGGGUCGGAACCCAUGGAAGAGCUAUCAAAUGUCUUUUCUUUCUUUCUUCGCUUUUCAAAAGUGAACGUAGGUGGUACUAUUGGAUUGCUUGAAGCUAUAGGGAGAGGAUAUUAGAAGCUCAUGAGAAAGGGCUAUGAUGCAUCCCCUGGGGUUGGGAAAUGCUCUCGAUGGAAAGGAACGUAAGCGGCUGCAGAUGGUUCUGCUCUGGAUUCAUUUAGUUAAUGCCGAAUAUCUUUCUCUUACGCUAUUACCUAACUUAGCCACUUCUUUCUCUUACGCUAUUACCUAACUUAGCUACUAAUGACUUCGUUGAUAAAGACAUCUAUUAACACUUAAAUGGAGGGGUCGGUUUAGUACAAAAAAGAAAGCCCGCAUAGUUACCUACUCAAACUCUUCAACAAAGCCUAUGAUAGCCCUAUCAUAGGAAACCAGGGGGUCUCUCAAUCAAAAAGGAUGCGGAGCCGACCACGCGGAGAAAGCUGCCCAAGCGCGCGGAGGAAUGGAGCCGAUGCUAUUUCAAUCUCAUCUACACUGUUGUCUUUACUUGUUUUGCUCGACCAAAGAGUGAGAACGUAGUUACUCAAUUUGGUACCCCAUUCUUUAGUUGGCUCACUAACGUUCUUUCUUCACCGUGUCGAAUCCCCUUGUAGUACCGAGCAGGUUCCAAGUCAUUAUAGACAACAUCAAUUAGCCUUUUUUGUUCAGUGAAAGAAAGAUAAGCGAUUACCAGACUCCGAGGAGAGCACUGACGCUUAACAGUACAUAAAAAAGAAAUCUGAGCUUAAGUAAUGAAAUGAAUCAAAUCUCAUCUAUUCAUAAGCCGAUCAAGAAAAGAGUAAUCAACGUAGAAAUCAAAUAAGAAGAUAUCGGGGUUCUCCUACUACUAUUAUAUAGGAUAUAUCGAGUAGAGCAGGUUCAAACAGCACUCCCUUUUCACUCCUUUAUAAUGCAUUUCUUAAAUGAUAGUGGAAUUGACCAAUGGAAUGUUUCAUAUGCUUGGAACUUCGAUCUAAGUCGAGCUGGCCCUAGUAUAGGGAAAGGAUGUCUCUAUUCUUUAGAGUCAGAGCAGUCUUGAGUGCUGGGACCUUAACCAUAUGAUUCUGAUCUACAAUAGGGGUAUUCCCAGUGGUAUGUUCAUGAAUGCUUAACCCAGGCCUUCCAAUAUAUAUUAUUCCAAAGAUAGACUUACAAAUGGGUCUGUUCGAAUUCGAAUUGGAGGUCUUGUGGGCCUUCCCAUUUACUUAUAACUGAGGCUUGUUGGUGGUGGGCUAAGUGAGUGUCCCGUCCCUCUCCUUCUACAGCUUUGAGUGCUUACUAUCUUCCGAGCUGCCCUUCUGCUGCCGCGUAUGGUGCUGGUAGGCCAUCAUCUGUUUAUGGUGCGGCUACUGUCUGGGAACUUCUGUCGGCCUAGUAAGUCCGAAGCUACCCUCAGCUCCUGGUUAGAUGUGAUGAGCUACCUGGACAUUCAUUCUAUCUAAUCUAAGAGUAGUGGACAAACUCUUGCCUUGCUAGGAGGAAGACAGGAAUUAGCACUUGGAAGGUUUCACUCUGUCGUGAACUGAACAACGGAAGCUUUCCUCCCCGAUGGUAUCAACCGGUUCAAACAGCACUAGUUUCUAACUGCAACUAACAUAUUUCUUUUUCUUUAGAGUUCCUUACGAGUCUUGCGCUUGCGUUUUCAAGUCUACGAUUGUUGGGUAAUCAUUCCCUCCUUACUUCUUACCUACUAAAGUCUCUCUUAGCCCAGCCCUCAAAACCAAACAAGAGUUCCAGCAUGGAAUGGCUAUCUUUCAAGACAUGGUCAAAUGCCCUGACUCUAACGGUGCCCACCAGUAUUCAUCGGUACUUUUGUCUUUACAUCCCCUACAUGAUUGCAGAUGUAAGGAUUCGUUUUUUGGGCCUAUUCUAUUCGAGUGUUCGUUUGCCGAUGACAUCAUAGACACCAGGCGUCUGUCUGUCUGUGCUGUUUCGAAUGAUCGGGUUGAAACGGCUUUACUAGCUGCUUGCCGGAUAAAGGCUUCAACCAUCUAUCCUAUCCCUUUCUCGCUUUCACAUCACAUUGAGCUCCAACGAACUCUGGGAAUCGAUCCCUUACUAGUAUUUAAUACGUGUGUGUUUUGAGGCAUUUGUCUUUGGAAUCGGUCAAGGGUUCAGACAGGAGAUGUGCUUUAGCCAAAGAAGCGGGGGCUCCUGCUCCAAUCAAGCAAAGAGGACUAGCGUUGGUCUGGGCACCAUAUCCACUCAGUGAAGGCCGGGCAAGACUGAACGUCCGAUCCGAUCCGAUAUAGUAGUGUCGGACAUUUGGAAGACUUCAGCUGUGGGAUAGACUCCUUUAAAUCAAAAGAUAGGAGCGGAGAGAUUAACCCGCAGGAGCGCACUAUGGUCUAAGGCCUUGGCUGACAUCCCCGCGAAGCUCCACCUUACAAGGGAGCCUAUGUAGAUUCUCUAGAAGUAGCUAAUAGAAGACGAAGAUGUCAUACGCGUAUAGUCUGUUACUAAUACGGAAAUAGGUAGAAUUACCAGGUACUAGAAACAUUGGAAGGUAAAGCAAAACAUCAAAACUCCGAUUAGCAAGCAAAGGGCCCGAGGUCUGCGAUGCGAACCUUUCCAAAGAUUAAGGGUCUACGCAUCAGUAUCAACCGAUGGAGCUCCUUCCUGUCCCACAUCGAUAUCUGUUCCAAGAAAUGGAGUCCGGGUCAUCCGAAAUUGGCAACCACGCAACUGAAACAGGCUUUGCACAUUCCAAUCUCUACUUGAAGUUCAGAAUUUCACUUACUUGCUUCCUUGCUUCUGAGGUUUAGUCUUUUACUUACUUGUUUUGUGUUACUCCUCAAUUGCUUGUUUCUUUCGAACAGAGCUCCUCUCUGCUCUAAUACUAAUGGCGUAUAGGGUAUGGUACUAAUUAAUAGUCAAACUAAAAGGGUGGCGGGACCAUAGGGAAUCCAACAAGUAAUAGAGAAUAUGGGUACAGCUAACAGGACUCGAACACCACCCCUAACGACUUGGAACCGCAGCUUAUGAGAAUCAAACGGGGAAAUAGAACUUGCCUACUGCCCCAAUAAGCUGACCUUCAACCCAACACCCCUUACUCAUACUAAAUGAAUUCUUCUGCUUAUGAGUUUUGUUCCUUAUUCCUAGGUAUGAGGAAAAGGAUUAUUAGCUUAGGGGUCAGUCUUAUCGGAUAGAAGUUAUAGGUGGAAACCCAGAGAGGUAGGCUCGAACUAAGAAGCAAGGACAUCUCCCAGCAGUGAGAAAGAAUCAAAGGUAUAAUACAACCUAAAGAGGAGUACUUGAUUAAUUAGAUAUAAUCAAGCCAAAGAGUGUCGAAUCGGUAGUUUCAAUCUUAUAGUGGGUAGUGGAAAGCCCUAUAUGUUAACUUAGUAGCCUAAGCCUUACUUGCCCCUCCCUUCUUAGGUCCCUGCCUCGCCAGUCCUACACUUUUGUUACUGCAAUGCGGUUGUUAGCCUGGCACUCCCGCCUUAAAGACUUGCUUGUUAGUUUAGGUAUUCCGAUACUGUCCUCAAUUCAGUAGCUCAACUCUAGGGCUUAUACUCUCUCUUUUAUCAACAUUGUCAGCCUUUCUUUCAAGUAGUAAACAAAGAAUUGGACAAAGUAAUAUAAUAAUGGUAGACUCCAACGCGCCAGAAUAGUGAAACUCAGAUACUAGUACAAGAAUCCAAGUGAAAAUUAGGAAUCCUACUCGGUAGUCCAAGUCUGACUGCUUAGUUGCGUUCCGUAUCUCUUGUUUCCAAACCCCUACUACUUACUCCCCUCGCUCUUAGACUCCUGAUCCAACAUCCGUAGCCUGAAACUCCUAUGUUAUAGCUUCAAACUGACUACCCUGUCCCUAGCUCUUACUCUGAAACUAAUGCCUAAAGUUCUUGCGGGCCCCUCUUAUGAUUUAUUAGUAGUCUCAUUCUCGUACUUUGCCCUUUCAACUCCUGCCUUACAUACCGUAGUUCUUGGUUUAGUCUAAUACUUGUACUGCUUAGCUCAAUCCUCAUUGCCUCUUUCUCUUGUCUCAACCUAUAAGUUGUAGGAUUACGCUCCUUUCUUGACAUUCUGACUCGCUUGUUUAAUUGUUCUACUUUUACUUGUUCCACUUUGACUUAUACACUACCACCUACGCUGGAACCUUGCUUUACUAUACCAUUAUAACAUAACAUUAUAACAUAGCUUCUAUCCCCUUGCCAUCAAAACAAAACAAGUACUUCUCGUGCUUUAGCCGCUGGCAAACAGGCUGAGCUACUGAUUCGUAGAAUGGGACUUACUUACCUCUAGGCAUACUCCACUUUCACUGUUGACUUCAACUAAAGCAAAGAAAUAGGACUGACUACUUUCAUACCAGUACUAAUGGCUUCAACACUCCUUACUUUCUUGCUUGUGAGUUAGAGCCUUGUUCAUAUGGCAGCUUUCCCGGCCUUACUUGUGUUUGCUUCAACCUUACUAUCCUUUAUCUGAUUCUUUGACUGACUUCUGUAAUUCUUCUAUUGAUGAGAUAUAUUGUAUGCAGUAAUAGAGUCGAACUACAGCUUCUAAGGCAACAACCAGUGCGAAUAAGAAAACCACUAAUAAAUAAGGCUUUAAAUAGAACCUAUUAGAAUGGAGCCGGGGCUAACCCUGGCACAUCCUUGCUUCUUAGCUGCAGUCUGCUAUUCCCCGCUCGUAGUCUCACUUCCACUUCCUGGGGUCUCUGGUUGUUCUUCAACUCAUUGGUACGAUCUAGCACAGUAUCUGAUUUCCCCUUCUAAGUUCGAAGUAAACUAAUAGUUCCAAUUCUGAGUAGGUAUACCAAUGAGUAGCCGAUGAGUAGGUACACCAAUAAGUAAGGCACCCCCGUAAUAAAACGACUUACUGGAAUUACUAUAAGCAAACUCACCACUUGGACUUCCACCGUUAACUACAGAACUCAACACAGAACUAGGAAUUGACACCACUGCUAAUCUGAAUGAACUUCCCAUGUAGUCAACCUUACUUGCUAGCUUCAAACCUCCACUACCACUUGAGAGUCUUCCGAUCCCUUAUCUAAUUCCGUUUACUCCCGCACUUUAAGAUAGAACCGCUGCCAACAAGCUUUAUUUCAUUAGUCCCCCAGCCUUACUUGUUAGCUCUAGAGCCUUACUAUACUGUCUCUUAUUCGGAAACUCAUUGAUAUGAUCUAGCGCCUAUAGAAGUAGAAACCAACUGCUUAUAGUCAGAAUCAAACCGCCAAGUCACUCGAGCACAGGCAAGUCCUUGAACUGCACUUUUUGAGGCAAGUAUUACCUUACUGUCUAUAAUUCUCUCUACCCGGCCAACAACCCUGGCUUGACUUUAUCUCAGCCCAUAUCUCCCGGCUUCUAGUCAGCAUUCCCACUCUAACGACUUUUCUCAUUCUAGAUCUACUAGCUGCGGGUCCUCCACUCCCUCACUUCACUAUGCCGCUACUGACAUGAAGUAUUAUUUGACUUUAUAUAAAUCCCUACACCUACUGGCCUCGAUUCGAUCUCGUUCUCUAACUACUGAUCCGGCCAAAUACUAUCUUUACCUAUUAGUCUGUUUUUCCCUAUCUUUAUUCUUAAACUACGAAGCUCUACAGCUUAUUACCCUAUCUUUGAUUCCUGUGCUUCUGGGUGAAACUUACUUUCCUGCCUCUGAUUCUAAGGCUACUAUAACUAUUGGAAAGACUUAAACAAGUGCUAGCAAGAAUGAGAUCAGCGCAUUUAAGAAUGGAGCUCAGUUGCCCAGGACUACUAUACUGGUUGGGGAUGCAACUCAUAAACUACUGGCUCGGCUCUAAACUCGCCAACUACGGAAACCCACCCUGUAUGUGCUCUGAAAUUUCAUUAGAAAAGAAAAGAGACCGGGCAGCGUCCUGUGUUAACCUGUAUUCAAGGCGUCAGCGAGUUCUAGUUAUGCGUCAGUAUCCAUUUAGUAUUGUAUUCGUAUCUGUGUCAGCCUCAGGGAAAGUAGUUUCAUCCGCUUCAUUAGUUGUGGAAUACCGAGUAGCCAGAGAAGAGAGAUUGCCUGUUGCCAUAGGUAGCUGAGCCAUAGGUAAAAGGUGGAUGAGCCAGAGCAGAGGUAUAGUUUGACCCGCCAAGCAACUACUAACGUUGCGCGGCAGGAGCG
rnacentral:lncRNA from 1 species